rnacentral:lncRNA from 1 species
GCUCUAUGGGGUCGUGAAGUCAGUGGGAAUGGGGUGUGGGGCUUUAUGGGGUCAUGAAGUCAGUGGGAAUGGGAUGUGGGGCUCUAUGGGGUUUUGAAGUCAUUGGGAUUGGAGAUGGGGCUUUAUGGGGUCAUGAAGUCAGUGGGAAUGGGGUAUGGGGCUUUAUGGGGUCGUGAAGUCAGUGGGAAUGGGGUGUGGGGCUCUAUGGGUCGUGAAGUCAGUGGGAAUGGGGAGGGGGGCUUUAUGGGGUCGUGAAGUCAGUGGGAAUGGGAAGGGAUAAUCAAUGGGGUCAUGAAGUCAGUGGGAAUGGGGAGUGGGGCUCUAUGGGGUCAUGAAGUAAUUGGGAUUGGAGAUGGGGCUCUAUGGGGUUUUUGAAGUCAUUGGGAUUGGGGAUGGGACUUUAUGGGGUCGUGAAGCCAUUGGGAUUGGAGAUGGGGCUUUAUGGGGUCAUGAAGUCAGUGGGAAUGGGGUGUGGGGCUCUAUGGGGUCGUGAAGUCAGUGGGUUGGAGAUGGGGCUUUAUGGGGUCGUGAAGUCAGUGGGAAUGGGGAAUGGGGCUCUAUGGGGUCGUGAAGUCAUUGGGAUUGGAGAUGGGGCUCUAUGGGGUCGUGAAGUCAUUGGGAAUGGGGUUGGGGCUCUAUGGGGUCGUGAAGUCAGUGGGAUUGGAGAUGGGGCUCUAUGGGGUUUUGAAGUCAGUGGGAAUGGGGUGUGGGGCUCUAUGGGGUCGUGAAGUCAUUGGGAAUGGGGAUUGGGGUUCUAUGGGGUCCUGAAGUCUUUGGGAUUGGAGCCCAUCCCCAUCCCAUCCCCACCCCAUAUCCCACCCCAUAUCCCACC